UACGGGAGGCAGCAGUGGGGAAUAUUGCACAAUGGGCGCAAGCCUGAUGCAGCCAUGCCGCGUGUAUGAAGAAGGCCUUCGGGUUGUAAAGUACUUUCAGUCGUGAGGAAGGUGUUAAGGUUAAUAACCUUAGCAAUUGACGUUAGCGACAGAAGAAGCACCGGCUAACUCCGUGCCAGCAGCCGCGGUAAUACGGAGGGUGCGAGCGUUAAUCGGAAUUACUGGGCGUAAAGGGCACGCAGGCGGUUAAUUAAGUUGGAUGUGAAAUCCCCGGGCUUAACCUGGGAAUGGCAUUCAAGACUGGUUAGCUAGAGUCUUGUAGAGGGGGUAGAAUUCCGAUGUGUAGCGGUGAAAUGCGUAGAGAUGUGGAGGAAUACCGGUGGCGAAGGCGGCCCCUGGACAAGACUGACGCUCAUGUGCGAAAGCGUGGGGAGCAAACGAGGAUUAGAUACC
rnacentral:rRNA from 1 species